GUAAAAUACCUCUCCUGUUCUUGUUCUCCCAGCCAAUACUCUGGUCUAUUUAUUUGUUAUCUAUUGACUUGACAGCUCCAGCCUCCUCCCAUACAGCUUCUUCACCAUCCUUUGUCCGUUUUUUGCAAGUAUUAAAGUGAAAUAUAUCACUCUUUUCUCCAAAAUUAACAUUAACUUGGUGUCCUCUAAAUUUUUCAUCACCAUCUUAAUCACAUUUAUGUAUAGUCAGAUUCUCCAUAAUAUUAAUUCAUGUAUAUCAUGUAUAUCAUGUAUAUCAAUUCUUUUCUUAAAUAUGCUCUGACUGUUCACCUGUUCUUCAUCUUAUAAAUGUUUUUGAAUCUUUUGUUCCUUUCAGACAAUUUUAUGCUGGUGAUUUUUUCCUUUAGUAUGAAAUAAUUUUCCACUUCCCAUCCACUAAAUAAAGCCUUUCUUCUCUUGCACACCUCUGCUGAAAAAUCAGAAAGACAGAUCUUUUCCUCAUUUGAAGGAUGACAGACUUCCUUGUCUUCUUUUAUCUACAAAUGGACAUCUUGGGUCAAUUUGGGCAAGUUUCUUAGGAUCAGUUCCAAAGAAGAUCACAGGCAAAAAAUUCUCUUAAGACCUGACAGAGAAUGAACCAUUGCAUUGCGAAUUACUUGGGUGUCAGCUUCAGAAACUCCAUCACAUAAUUCUUUGGGGUGGCAAGAUCUACAGUUCUUAAGAAGACAGAAUUAAAAUACUUUGCUGAAGACCAUCCUUUUUCUCUGGUGAGAUAUAUACAUAUUUCCUAAAGUCCUAGUUGGUAGGAUGCUGAAGCUCAAGAGAAAUCCUACUAUUGGAAAGGAGAGCAGAUUUUAUGAGAAGAAAGGCCAAAAAACAUACUGAAGAAUUGACUAUUCAUAGUGGAUUGACAUGGAAGAUUUUCUUUCCUGGAAUGAAGUGUAAUAGAGGGGAAGGUACUGAGAUUCUACAGAUUUCAGCUAAUGUAGUUUCAUUAUCUUACAUUCAUGAAUCUUAUUAGAAAUGGGAAAGAUUUGAGAAAGAGAUGUUUAUCUGCAAAAUGUAUCAAAUUUCCAAGAAGUCUUCUGGGAGUAAAAUGGAUUUUCAUUUUGAGACUGUACAUCCAGGAAGAGAGGAUCAAGAUUCCUGAUUUUAACUCACUAGAGGAAAGAGGUCACGAGCCAAGUGGAAGAAUAAGCCACACAACCACAAUGCUCAUCAGUGUGGAAAUCUGCUUUCAGGUCUCAGCAGCCCAGCCUUCAUUUUAUCUUACCUACCUGAUCAAGAUUCAUGGAGUGCAUAUGGGUUAAUCAGACUGUUUUAAAAAUCACUAGACAGUACAGCAUCUAAAGUCUUCGGUGGAUUCGGUCUUUAAUUUCUCAGUGUUACACUACCUCAGCUGCAAAGCAGAAUAUUGUGUUAUAUUUUUCUGUGUUUGGAUAUAGAGUUUGGAUAUACAUUGUAAAUUUUUUGAGAUUGCUCAUUAGAUGCAUUCACAUGGGGUUCUACUUCUAACUCAGUUAUGUCUCACUUUCUCUUAUUGGAUUUUUUCUCCUGUAUAAACAUUUAAAUAUCAGUUUGGGAUGGAAACCAGGUUUAAAAUCUCAUUUCUCUAGAUCUAAACAUGGUAAAUGUGGAUAUGUUAAUUUAUGUGAUCUUUUUGGACAAGGUAUUGAAUGCAAUCUAUGUUUUAAAAAGACGACUAAAGCUUCCAUGAGAAAAAGAACUCUAAAUGGGUAUACCAGUAAGGCAUAGGCAGCUGUGAAUUUAACUAUAAAGUGAAAUAAAACCUUGUUUGGUUUGUCA
rnacentral:lncRNA from 1 species